CGGUCAACAAAGAGAGGCAAAGCCGCGAGGUGGAGCAAAUCUCAAAAAGCCGUCCCAGUUCGGAUUGCAGGCUGCAACCCGCCUGCAUGAAGUUGGAAUCGCUAGUAAUCGCGGAUCAGCAUGCCGCGGUGAAUACGUUCCCGGGCCUUGUACACACCGCCCGUCACACCAUGAGAGUCGGGAACACCCGAAGUCCGUAGCCUAACCGCAAGGGGGGCGCGGCCGAAGGUGGGUUCGAUAAUUGGGGUGAAGUCGUAACAAGGUACC
rnacentral:rRNA from 1 species